ACAUUACUUCAGAACAGGAAUCAUGUAUCGUAGGCACUUUGGAACAGUGUUUAUCAGGGAUAUUUAUGAUAUUCUUUGAGUUAUGUAAAUUGGAU